AAGCAUAGUUGAAGAAGCAAGAGGCUGCUAUCCGAGAUCAAAUCUCUAGAUCUGAGGAUAGAUCUUCUCAAGGAGAAGGAGAUGAUGGACACCAUCCAGCCACAUCCAUUCCCCUAGCCAUGAAGAAGAAGAAGCAAUGGAUUUGAGGACAAAUCCUUUUCAAGAGGGAGGGGAUGAUGGAAGAGGCCCAAGCACAAGCCCACAUGCAAGCCCACCAAAGGGUAGAUUUGGGCCAACC
rnacentral:lncRNA from 1 species